GCCGGGCGCGGUGGCUCAAGCCUGUAAUCCCAGCACUUUGGGAGGCCGAGACGGGCGGAUCACGAGGUCAGGAGAUCGAGACCAUCCUGGUUCACACGGUGAAACCCUGUCUCUACUAAAAAAUACAAAAAACCAGCCGGGCGAGGUGGCGGGCGCCUGUAGUCCCAGCUACUUGGGNNNNNNNNNNCCCAAGUAGCUGGGACUACAGGCGCUCGCCACCGCGCCCAGCUAGAUUUUUGUAUUUUUUAGUAGAGACAGGGUUUCACCGUGUGAGCCAGGAUGGUCUCGAUCUCCUGACCUCGUGAUCCACCCGUCUCGGC
rfam:Chlorocebus sabaeus isolate 1994-021 chromosome 16, whole genome shotgun sequence.